rnacentral:tRNA from 1 species
UGUGGCUUAGUUGGUUAAAGCGCCGGCCUAUCGAAUACGGAGUCGUGGGUUUGAAUCCCACCA